ACACCAGUGCGAUCAGCACGAUAGAGACAUCAAAUCCACGAUUUUGCUUCACCCCGUUUGAUCACGGAUUCGCGAUGAAACCCGUCCUCUCUCCAACUAAUCCAUAUAUCACACAUAGACCUAUGUAAAAACCCAAAAACUUAAAUUCAAAUUCAAAUUUGAAUUCCCUACCACCAGUAGGUACCAGAAACAUCUCUCACCCAACCCCAGGUCACAAGCACAGAGCACGAGGAGCUUUAUAAUGCAAGAAAAGUAAAGAGCGAAAACCCUCUUUUUGAUAAAACUCUUUUUUCUCGAAAACUGUGCCUCAAAUCUAAAAUCCGUCAGCACCAUUGGUUCCAGAAUAGCUGAACUGUUCAAAACGAGCUAUUGGAUCGGUAUGAACGGAGUCCAAUACGCGCCAGAAGCCAACUCUACUCAUCAGCCUCUCCGAAAAACUGGAGUUAGUAUUCACUUUAAGUGAUUAGUAUUAAUAGCGUAACUUCUCCAUUCUAACUCGUUUUCUCCUGAAACUUUACGAGUGCUUAUGUAAUUAAAUUACACACAAAAAUAUCGUCAACAGAGAGUUUAGCUACACUGCCAAAAUCUUAAUCCUUACAAUCUGGCUUAUCCAUAGAUUUUACAUUAAAAUUUAAAUUAUGAAUUAAAUUUAAUUUUGGAUAUCAAAUUUGAAUUAACCAUUAAAAAAUUUUAAUUAUAAUGGAUCAAAAUUAAAUUUAAUUUUAGCAAAUUUAAAUUUAUAAAUUUUGGAUAUCAAAUUUGAAUUAACAAUUAAAAUAUUUAAUUGCGGUUAAAUUUUGAAUUUUAAAGUAAAUGUGAAUUAAAUUUUGACGCUUUUAGUUUAAACAAUAUACUUAAAUUUUAAAGUUAUUAGAAUUCAAAAAAAUAUGAAAAUAAUAUAGGAUACUGCAGAUAUUUUCUAGUAUAAUAUAACAUAUAAAUUUCUAAAAUAUAAUUUUUGUUGUAAAUUUUUAUUGUAAUUUUUGUUGCAUAUUUUAUAUUUUUA
rnacentral:lncRNA from 1 species